rnacentral:rRNA from 1 species
UGACAGGCAAUAUCAGCGCAUCUCUGAUGCUGCUGUGUUAAAUAUGCUAGUCCUUUCAUGAUUAUGUGAUAGGUGGUGCAUGGCCGUUCUUAGUUCGUGGAGUGAUCUGUCUGCUUAAUUGCGUUUCACUAAGGAACUAUAUUUCUUAUGUAUGUUGUCAGCGCAUUGACCCCUCAACUGCUACAAUUCUUAAUUGAAUUGACUUUUGCUGCGCGUGUCUUUGAUUCUCGUCUGGCUCAUACGAUUAGUUCCUGAAAGCAACGAACGUGACCGCAACCUCUUGUUGCCUUCAAAUCAUAAUACAUGCACUCAUUUGAUGAAUUUCAUUUGUGUGCAUACGGAGGCUUUCUAAACUAGAGGGACCGCUGUUAUCUUCUUAAACCAGAGGAAGGUUGCGGCAAUAACAGGUCUGUGAUGCCCUUAGAUGUUCCGGGCUGCACACGUGCUACAAUGAUUAUUGCAGUGAGCAUCUCAUUUACUUAAUACAUCGCAAGCGCGAGUCCGUUUGUUCUUUGUUUCAGUUCAUGCUGUUCAGAGCUUCAAAUGAGUAUCUCUGCGCGCGAUAAAGCCUGCUUUGAAAGUUUAGUGGGUAAUCAAUUAGAAGUAAUGAUUUCCUAAAUUUAUCGCACUUAUAUGUACGGCGUCUUUACCCAGCUGGCCUUUUGUGCCAGAAUUCGUGUGUAUCGACGAUUGAUUUCUUAUAAUCAAUUGCCUUUCUUACGGUACCGUACGUGCAAUUGUCAAUUCAUGGUGGGGACAGACCAUUGUUAAUUGUUGGUCUCGGUCUUAACUAGGAAUGCCUUGUACGGGUCUUUGGUUCAACAGACCACCCGGAA